rnacentral:rRNA from 1 species
CCAGCAGCCGCGGUAAUUCCAGCUCCAAUAGCGUAUAUUUAAGUUGUUGCAGUUAAAAAGCUCGUAGUUGGAUUUCGGGCGGGGCCUGCCGGUCCGCCUUUUGGUGUGCACUGGCAGGGUCCGCCUUGCUGCCGGGGACGGGCUCCUGGGCUUCACUGUCCGGGACUCGGAGUCGGCGUGGUUACUUUGAGUAAAUUAGAGUGUUCAAAGCAGGCUUACGCUCUGAAUACAUUAGCAUGGAAUAACGCGAUAGGACUCUGGCCUAUCUUGUUGGUCUGUGGGACCGGAGUAAUGAUUAAGAGGGACAGUCGGGGGCAUUCGUAUUUCAUUGUCAGAGGUGAAAUUCUUGGAUUUAUGAAAGACGAACUACUGCGAAAGCAUUUGCCAAGGAUGUUUUCAUUAAUCAAGAACGAAAGU